GGGCAUGUGGCGGAAUCGGUAGACGCGCCUGACUCAAAAUCAGGUUCGAAAGAGUGCGGGUUCGAGUCCCGCCUUGCCCACCA
rnacentral:tRNA from 1 species